UACGAAGGGGGCUAGCGUUGUUCGGAAUUACUGGGCGUAAAGGGCGCGCAGGCGGCUCUUCAAGUCAGAUGUGAAAGCCCCGGGCUCAACCUGGGAACUGCAUUUGAGACUGGAGAGCUUGAGUUCGGGAGAGGAGAGCGGAAUUCCCAGUGUAGAGGUGAAAUUCGUAGAUAUUCGGAAGAACACCAGUGGCGAAGGCGACUCGCUGGACAAGUAUUGACGCUGAGGUGCGAAAGCGUGGGGAGCAAACAGG
rnacentral:rRNA from 1 species